AGAGGAAGGAAGGGGUGAAUGGAAAAAGAGUGGCAACUUCCUUGGCUCUCCUAUCCUGCAGUAGGCGAGCCCCCUGCAUGGGAUCUUUCUGGGCUGAGAGCUCUUUUCUGUUAAAGGAACGUCUGCAAAAGACAAGACAAAUACAUUUGAACAGUCCCGAAGAGAGGUAAUUUCAGAGUAGACACCUAUUUCUCCACCAGAAACAAAGCAGAUCCCAGAUCCUAAAAGCAGGCUUGAGGAGGCAAGAGGAAGCAUCCAGGAACCCCAAAGCAGGCAGUGGAUUACCCAUUGGCUCUGGGUAAAGCCAAGAGGAUUUAGAGAGGGAUUUGCACUGUUUCAGCCUCCUGAUUCAACUCCUCUCCAAGGAAAAAGGCUCAGUAGGCCAACCAAGCCACUUUUCCUCUCUUGAGGGAUGAAGAUCAAAGAUGCAACUUGCCCAGCUGUCUGUUAUGAACUAAACUGCAUCCCUGCAAAAUUCAUAUGUUGAAGUCCUAACACCUUGUACCUCAGAAUUUGACUGUAUUUGGAGACAGGGUCUUUACAGAGGUAAUAAAGGUGACAUGAGGUCAUUAGAGUGGGUCCUAAUCCAUUAUGAUGGGCAUUUAUAAAAGGAGGAGAUUAGGACACAGACAAGAACGCAUGGAGAAAAGACCAUGUGAAGACUCGGGGAGGGUGUGGUCAUCUACAAGCCAAGGAGAGAGGCAUCAGAAGAAACAAUCCUCACAGCACCUUGAUCUUGGAGUUCUAGCCUCCAGAGCAGUGAGAAAACAAACCACCAUCCAGGAUCUGGUCCUUUGUUAUGGCAGCCCUCGAAAACCAACACAGAGCAGAACAACACCAGAGAAAAAUCAGAAAUAAAAUGAGAUGCAGACUCCAGCAGCCUGGUCUCCCAGUCAGGACACAAGCCAGACCUGGACGGAAGUGGUCACAGCACUUCUAGCUCCAAAAUAACCACUGGGCGGAGGCUCCUGGUUCCUCCUCCCUCCAACCUCAUGCAGCCCUCUCUGUCCCCAUCUUCUCAGGCUCACUCAGUGCAGUGUCUGCCCGCAUCCCUCUAUCGGGGCCUUCCUCUGCCCACAGAGGGAGUUAUAUACAAGCCCGAGGAAUGAGGAAGAGAAGACAAAAGCAAGAUGGAGCCUCACUGUCUGAUUUUCCCAGACGUUCCCAGGAGGUCCUGGUUAUGCAGGGUGGUCUGGAUUUUUGCCCUCACAGCCACCCCUGCAGGUGGGAAUGACCACUGCCUUCCUAAAGAUGAGAAAACCUGAACCCGGAGUGGUGGCUCGCACCUGUAAUCCCAGGGACUCAGGAUGCUGAAAGCAGGAGGAUCUCUUGAGCCCAACAGUUCAAUGCUGCAGUGAGCUAUGAUCCCACCGCUGCACUUCAGCCUCGGUGACAAAGUGAGACCCUAUCUCUAAAAAAUAAACAAAAAUAAAAAUAAAAGAUGAGAAAACCAAGGCUCAGGAGAAGUAACUUGUCCGGGGUCAGGCAGCCGGUUCUAGGCAGAGCUAGAACAGAAAGUGAGCUUUGGCUGACAUAUUUGCUUUGAAGUUUUCACUCUGCAACUCUGAUGAAAAAAAUAUAUCUACACUGUGAAAGGCUAUACGAGGAAAAUUGGAUUUUUUCCAAUUCUUAUUGAUAAUAACUAGGAGACAUUAAAGAGAAAGAGAGAGGGGCCAGACACAGUGGCUCAUGCCCGUAAUCCCAGCACUUUGGGAGGCCAAGGUGGGCAAAUCACCUUGAGCCCAGAAAUUUGAGACUAGCCUGGGCAACAUGCAAAACCCCAUCUCUAUAAAAAAAAAAUACAAAAAUUAGCCGGACAUGGUGGCAGGAACCUGUAGUCCCAGCUAAUUGGGAGGCUGAGAUGGGAGGAUUAUUUGAGCCCAGGAAGUGGUGGCUGCAGUGAGACAAGAUCACGCCACUGCACUCCAGCCUAGGUGACAGAGAGAGACUCUGAAAAAAAAAAAAAGAGAGAGAGAGAGGGAGAGGAGAGAGAGAGAAAUCUUCAACAAGCACAAAAAUGCCAUGACUUCUAAAACUAAGAUCUGAUCUCCAACUUAAAAACCUUCUGUCUCUAUUUUGCCUGCAGAGAAGUAUAAAUUCCUUUGGAGAAUGAAGCUGCUUUCCAAUGCUUGCUGUAAUAGCCCUCUGCAUCUUUCUUUCAUAACAUCUAGUACAAUUUGAAGUUAUAUAUUGGGUGAUUGUUUGAUUAAUGUUUGUCUUUCUGAAAUUUUGAGGUAGCAUGAUCAUACAACUUAUAGUGUAAAUGAGAAUACUUUUGAAAGUAAAAGGAGAUGUUAUUAAUAAUUAUUCCAGGACAAGAAGGAGACUGGAACAUGUGGUCAUCCUACAGGUGAAGCAGAGACCAACUCUGGUUUACUUGUCAUUGUAGUCCCAGUGCCAGAUUCCAUACUUGGCACAUAGUAGAUGCUCAAUAAAUAAACAUGAUGAUUGAUUUAA